rnacentral:rRNA from 1 species
UACGGAGGAUUCAAGCGUUAUCCGGAAUUACUGGGUGUAAAGGGUGAGUAGGCGGGAAGGCAAGUCAGAUGUGAAAUGCAGGAGCCCAACUCCUGAACUGCAUUUGAAACUGUUUUUCUUGAGAGUCGGAGGGGUAAUCGGAAUUCCCAGUGUAGCGGUGAAAUGCGCAGAGAUUGGGAGGAACACCAGUGGCGAAGGCGGAUUAUUGGACGACAACUGACGCUGAUACACGAAAGCGUGGGGAGCAAAC